AAUUUGAAGAUAUCAGCGCAAGCACCCACAGCAUCUGGGUUAACCCAUUCUUCACAUAGAAAGGAUAACUCAGAAUUGAACCAAGAAAAUUUUGGGAUGAUGUCAGAAAAUACGAGUACAACACCAUCAAAUAACGCAUUUUCAACUAGAAUGCAACCUGGACCCACAAAUUCAGGUUCUCAAACUGGCAGUUAAAGUGAUCUCCAAUCAAAUUUGAAGAUAUCAGCGCAAGCACCCACAGCAUCUGGGUUAACCCAUUCUUCACAUAGGUAAGUAAAUAAUAUAAUCAACAUAUUAACUGUAAUGUUAGGUGCCAUGUCAUCAUGGCUCACCACACUGAAUUUAUCAGUAUGGUUCGCUCCAUUCUCACUCUCAUACACAUUGCUUCU